rnacentral:rRNA from 2 species
GUGCUUAACACAUGCAAGUCGAACGGAAAGGCCCUUCGGGGUGCUCGAGUGGCGAACGGGUGAGUAACACGUGGGUGAUCUGCCCUGCACUUUGGGAUAAGCCUGGGAAACUGGGUCUAAUACCGAAUAGGACCACGGCAUUCAUGUGCUGUGGUGGAAAGCUUUUGCGGUGUGGGAUGGGCCCGCGGCCUAUCAGCUUGUUGGUGGGGUAAUGGCCUACCAAGGCGACGACGGGUAGCCGGCCUGAGAGGGUGACCGGCCACACUGGGACUGAGAUACGGCCCAGACUCCUACGGGAGGCAGCAGUGGGGAAUAUUGCACAAUGGGCGCAAGCCUGAUGCAGCGACGCCGCGUGAGGGAUGACGGCCUUCGGGUUGUAAACCUCUUUCAGUACCGACGAAGCGCGAGUGACGGUAGGUACAGAAGAAGGACCGGCCAACUACGUGCCAGCAGCCGCGGUAAUACGUAGGGUCCGAGCGUUGUCCGGAAUUACUGGGCGUAAAGAGCUCGUAGGUGGUUUGUCGCGUUGUUCGUGAAAUC